UAAUACGAACCGGACGAACGUUAUUCGGAAUCACUGGGCUUAAAGAGUGCGUAGGCGGCCUUGUAGGUUGGGUGUGAAAGCCCACGGCUCAACCGUGGAACUGCGCUCAAAACCACAAGGCUUGAGGAAGGCAGAGGUGAGCGGAACUGAUGGUGGAGCGGUGAAAUGCGUUGAUAUCAUCAGGAACACCAGUGGCGAAGGCGGCUCACUGGGCCUUUACUGACGCUGAGGCACGAAAGCUAGGGGAGCGAACGGG
rnacentral:rRNA from 1 species